UACGGAGGGGGCUAGCGUUAUCCGGAUUUAUUGGGCGUAAAGCGUCCGCAGGUGGUUUUCCAAGUCUGCUGUUAAAGCGCGAGGCUUAACCUCGUACAGGCAGUGGAAACUGGAUGACUAGAGUAUGGUAGGGGUAGCGGGAAUUCCCAGUGUAGCGGUGAAAUGCGUAGAUAUUGGGAAGAACACCAGCGGCGAAAGCGCGCUACUGGGCCAUUACUGACACUCAUGGACGAAAGCUAGGGGAGCGAAAGGG
rnacentral:rRNA from 1 species